GCCAGACUCCUACGGGAGGCAGCAGUGGGGGAUAUUGCACAAUGGGGGGAACCCUGAUGCAGCGACGCCGCGUGGGCGAUGGAGUACUUCGGUAUGUAAAGCUCUAUCAGCAGGGAAGAAAAUGACGGUACCUGAUUAAGAAGCCCCGGCUAACUACGUGCCAGCAGCCGCGGUAAUACGUAGGGGGCAAGUGUUAUCCGGAUUUACUGGGUGUAAAGGGAGCGUAGACGGCAGCACAAGUCUGGAGUGAAAUGCCGGGGCUUAACCCCGGAACUGCUUUGGAAACUGUGCAGCUAGAGUGCAGGAGAGGUAAGUGGAAUUCCUAGUGUAGCGGUGAAAUGCGUAGAUAUUAGGAGGAACACCAGUGGCGAAGGCGGCUUACUGGACUGUAACUGACGUUGAGGCUCGAAAGCGUGGGGAGCAAACAGGAUUAGAUACCCCGGUAA
rnacentral:rRNA from 1 species